rnacentral:rRNA from 1 species
AGAAUCAACGCUGGCGGCGUGCCUAACACAUGCAAGUCGAACGAGAAAGUGGAGCAAUCCAUGAGUACAGUGGCGACCGGGUGAGUAACACGUGACUACCUACCCUUGAGUGGGGGAUAAACCUCGGGAAACCGAGGCUAAUACCGCAUAAUAUCGAGAGAUCAAAGGAGUAAUCCGCUUUUGGAGGGGGUCGCGGCUGAUUAGCUAGUUGGUAGGGUAAUGGCCUACAAAGGCGAAGAUCGGUAUCCGGCCUGAGAGGGCGCACGGACACACUGGAACUGAAACACGGUCCAGACUCCUACGGGAGGCAGCAGUGGGGAAUUUUGCGCAAUGGGGGAAACCCUGACGCAGCAACGCCGCGUGGAGGAUGAAGCCCCUUGGGGUGUAAACUCCUUUCGACCGGGAAAAUAAUGAUGGUACCGGUGGAAGAAGCACCGGCUAACUCUGCGCCAGCAGCCGC